rnacentral:rRNA from 1 species
CAUAGCGACUAUCGUGGCAUAUCAAUAAGCGGAGGAAAAGAAACUAACUAGGAUUCCCUUAGUAACGGCGAGUGAAGCGGGAAGAGCUCAAAUUUGAAAUCUUCAAGGUUCUACCUUGACGAAUUGUAGUUUAAAGAAGUGUUUUCUGUUGGAGUUUUGGUAAAAGUUCUUUGGAAUAGGACAUCAUAGAGGGUGAGAAUCCCGUAUUUGACCAUUACUUUCCAGCUUUGUGAUACACUUUCAAAGAGUCGGGUUGUUUGGGAAUGCAGUCCAAAAUGGGUGGUAAAUUUCAUCUAAAGCUAAAUAUUGGCGAGAGACCGAUAGCGAACAAGUACCGUGAGGGAAAGAUGAAAAGAACUUUGAAAAGAGAGUUAAACAGUACGUGAAAUUGUCAAAAGGGAAGCGUUUGACACCAGUGUUGUUUUCUCGAAAAUCAAUUAAAAAUGGUGGGAUUUUGUGUUGUAUUGACUUUAUCAGCUUUCUGCACUUUUUUCCUAUCUUUUUUAAUGCACUUUUCGUUUAACAAGUCAACAUCAAUUUCUUUUGUUGUAAAAGAGUCAUUGGAAGGUGGCUUUUUCUUCGGAAAAAGUGUUUAUAGCCUUUGGCUUCUGCAAUCGGAGAGAUUGAGGUCUGCAGCGUAGAUCCUUCGGGGUUAGAUACAUUUGUGCUAAGCUAUAGUUCUUUAUAGACAACUUGUUGACUAUGAUGCAUCCUGUAGCUUACUCGCUUAUGCUAUUUUACCUACGCUUAGGAUGUUGACGAGACUGUCGAUCUC